CCUACGGGAGGCAGCAGUGGGGAAUAUUGGACAAUGGGGGCAACCCUGAUCCAGCCAUGCCGCGUGUGUGAAGAAGGCCCUCGGGUUGUAAAGCACUUUCAGUGAGGAAGAACGCCUGGUGGUUAAUACCCAUCAGGAAAGACAUCACUCACAGAAGAAGCACCGGCUAACUCCGUGCCAGCAGCCGCGGUAAUACGGAGGGUGCGAGCGUUAAUCGGAAUUACUGGGCGUAAAGCGCGCGUAGGUGGCUUGAUAAGCCGGUUGUGAAAGCCCCGGGCUCAACCUGGGAACGGCAUCCGGAACUGUCAAGCUAGAGUGCAGGAGAGGAAGGUAGAAUUCCCGGUGUAGCGGUGAAAUGCGUAGAGAUCGGGAGGAAUACCAGUGGCGAAGGCAGCCUUCUGGACUGACACUGACACUGAGGUGCGAAAGCGUGGGUAGCAAACAGGAUUAGAUACCCCAGUAGUC
rnacentral:rRNA from 1 species